GGUGUUACUCUUUUUUUGUUAAAAAUAUAUGACUCUAUAACUUUUACACCGUGACGCCACACUUGGCAUGUAAUACCUUUUCGGAAAGCCAAAAGAGAGCUCUCCCAUGAAUGAGGAAGCACAAUGGAAUUCUUCUUUUUGUUUUCUUUCUACUCCAAAUUUUGACCUUAAUGUACUUUUUUAGGCCUUUUUGUGAUCUUUGCUAUAUUACGAGGCGAAAAUUAUAUGUUUGGACAUUGUUUUCGAAUAUUUUGCAUGUAUCAAAGCUCUUAUAAACAAGAUAGGGUAUUCCUACAUAGCUAGUGGGACCCACGACAAAUGGAUCAUAAAGUCUUAAAAAAGAAUAGAUACGAUUGCAUUGCAUGUAUUAACGGAUGCGGUCNUCCAGCAAUCNCUAGUG
rnacentral:rRNA from 1 species